CGCGCUCCGCAGAUUUCGAGUACCGGGUUCUCUACCUCCUGGAUCCUGCGUUCCAGGUCCGCUACCUGGUGAAACUCGACUUCCAGAACAAACGCUCCGUGAUUUCUGCGCUCCAGGUCUGCUACUUGGUAAAACUCGACUGCCAGGACAAGCGCACCGUAGUUUCUGCGCUCCAGGUCCGCUACCUCGUGAAACUAUCCAUAUAACGAUAUGAUGUUCAUAAUUUGUAAAAAAUUUAUAUUUUGUUAGAUGCAGUAACGAGGAGCUCACAUUUAGCAAGACGACGAGUAAUCAUUAUAAGUUCAGGUUUUUUUCAGAUGUGCUUCAUAAAUAUAUAAAUCCGUAAUUAACGGAAAAAAUGGA